GCCUUCAGUAGUGUAGUUGGUUGUACCUUGAGUUAGUAAUUUUAAGUCCUAGGUUCAAGUCCUAGAUGGGGUA